rnacentral:rRNA from 1 species
AGCAGCCCAGAGUCUGAAUCAGCUUGUGUGUUAGUGGAACGGUCUGGAAAGUCCGACGGUACAGGGUGAUAGUCCCGUACACCAAAAUGCACAGGCUGUGAACUCGAAGAGUAGGGCGGGACACGUGGUAUCCUGUCUGAAUAUGGGGGGACCAUCCUCCAAGGCUAAAUACUCCUGACUGACCGAUAGUGAACCAGUACCGUGAGGGAAAGGCGAAAAGAACCCCGGCGAGGGGAGUGAAAAAGAACCUGAAACCGUGUACGUACAAGCAGUGGGAGCACCUUCGGGUGUGACUGCGUACCUUUUGUAUAAUGGGUCAGCGACUUAUAUUCUGUAGCAAGGUUAACCGUAUAGGGGAGCCGCAGGGAAACCGAGUCUUAACUGGGCGUUAAGUUGCAGGGUAUAGACCCGAAACCCGGUGAUCUAGCCAUGGGCAGGUUGAAGGUUGGGUAACACUAACUGGAGGACCGAACCGACUAAUGUUGAAAAAUUAGCGGAUGACUUGUGGCUGGGGGUGAAAGGCCAAUCAAACCGGGAGAUAGCUGGUUCUCCCCGAAAGCUAUUUAGGUAGCGCCUCGUGAA